rnacentral:rRNA from 1 species
AGCAUAUCAAUAAGCGGAGGAAAAGAAACUAACAAGGAUUCCCCUAGUAACUGCGAGUGAAGCGGGAAAAGCUCAAAUUNGAAAUCUGGCUGUCAUAUGGCAGUCCGAGUNGUAAUUUCGAGAAGUGUUGCCCAUGCCGGACCGUGCAUAAGUCCUCUGGAAAGGGGUAUCAUAGAGGGUGACAAUCCCGUCUUUGGUACGGAUUCCCGGUGCAUUGUGGUAUGCUCUCAACGAGUCGAGUUGUUUGGGAAUGCAGCUCAAGAUGGGUGGUAAAUUCCAUCUAAAGCUAAAUAUUGGCGUGAGACCGAUAGCGAGCAAGUACCGUGAGGGAAAGAUGAAAAGAACUUUGGAAAGAGAGUUAAACAGUACGUGAAAUUGUCAAUAGGGAAACGCUUGAAGUCAGUCGUGUUGCUCGGGGAUCAGCCUUCCUUUUGGUUGGUGUACUUCCUGAAUAACGGGUCAGCAUCAGUUUUGACUGCUGGAGAAAGGCUUAGGGAAUGUGGCUCUUUCGGGAGUGUUAUAGCCCUUGGUCAUAUACAGUGGUUGGGAUUGAGGAACUCAGUACGCCGCAAGGCAGCUCUUCGGAGACUUUCGUGCUUAGGAUGC